rnacentral:misc_RNA from 1 species
GAUGAAGAACGUAGCGAAAUGCGAUAAGUAAUGUGAAUUGCAGAAUUCAGUGAAUCAUCGAAUCUUUGAACGCACAUUGCGCCCGCCAGUAUUCUAGCGGGCAUGCCUGUCUGAGCGUCAUUUCAACCCUCAUGCCCCUAGGGCGUGGUGUUGGGGAUCGGCCAAAGCCCGCGAGGGACGGCCGGCCCCUAAAUCUAGUGGCGGACCCGUCGUGGCCUCCUCUGCGAAGUAGUGAUAUUCCGCAUCGGAGAGCGAUGAGCCCCUGCCGUUAAACCCCCAACUUUCCAAGGUUGACCUCAGAUCAGGUAGGAAUACCCGCUGAACUUAAGCAUAUCAAUAAGCGGAGGA